UUGCCACAUAAAUAUUUAUCGCACACAUCCGGUAGAAAGUUAUCAUUUAUUCAUUUACCCCAGAGACCGAAUUUCCGUUUACGUCGUAUUUAUACAUAUGUAUGAAAUUCAGAAAAAUUUACGACUUGCCAAAAAAGUAAUUGGGUUUCGCAUGAACGACAGCCACACAAAAAGAGGAACCGGGGAAAUAUGGCUCCUAGAAAUUUGAUUAGGCGUAUCAGGGAAAACAACGUAAAGAGUUCCCAAGCACGAGGAACGUGCUUUUCCACCACUCGGGUCUGGCUGAAAUCAAAGUUCAGCCCGGGGCCAAAAGGUUGCUGUCCCAGAAACAAGGCCAUAAAUAGAAACGGAAAAUCAGCCGAAUCCAACCUUCCGCUGUGGUUGAAGCUAAUUUCAGUUCAGUCGGGCAGACCGAAAUACACUAGAAUGCAUUCAUUGAGUUCGAGAAGUUUCGCACUCAAAGGCGUAUGUCUAUCUCUACGAGGAAGAUAAGCGAACAAAACGGCCUCCAAUUAAAGGUUUCGUUCGGGAAAUCUUGUCACUCGGCCACUUUUCGUGUUACAGUUUCUCCUUCCCUGGCCUGCCAGCCCAACUGGCCAAGAAUGCCCAAUGGCCAAGAAGUCCGUCUGUCUAAACUAGUUUGCUGGGUUGAUUGGCUGACUGGAGCUGCCGGUUAACGACUCUUAAAGCCUCCCAGAGAUCGUUGGACACGGCCCACGCGAAGCAAUGCUGGACUUCGGCCUAAUGGCUUGACCCAAAAGAUACGGAUAAGAAAAUCGAAUCCAGUAAAUAUUAAUGACAAUGUCUACGAGAGCACGCAUUUGGGAAUUUAAAUAAAUUAUUGCACAUUUACAGC